GUUAGUAAAGGUACAUAUUAUUAGUCGUACUCCUAGACUCUUACGCGUUUCACUCAACUUACUAUGAGCCAUAUGCAACACAACUGCUGUAACUAAAGUGCCAUCACAAAGGCCAAGUGUUGAUUCCAAUGAGAUCACUGACACCACAUUCUGAAAGAGAUGUGGUGUUGCAUACUUGCUUGCUUAGCGCAACUACUAUGCAAGCAAGUACCACCAUUUCUGUAUAAAAAUGCACACAUACUUGUACGAGUCCUUUUAAAAAAACAUACUUGUACGAGUCAAUGCACGUAGAACUACUGUCGAGGUCUCUGUUAUCUCACAAACUGUCGCAACUACGCGAUAAUUCUAUCAGAUUAAAUUAGGAACAAUUUUUGUCAGGUGCAUGGAGUUGCGGCUGUGUGUUCCUCCCUCUUUGAUCCAAAUUAACAGGAGCACUCACAGUUCUAGAAUUCAUAUUGGUACACGUAACUAAACAAGGCUCCGGAGGAGCCAGGGCAACCCCAACAGAAAUCUAAUGUCGUGGAUUUAAAGAGCAUCCACCUUGCUCAAGAUCUGGACUUCGCAGUAUCGAGAUUGGCAUUUUCGGUCCUUUGUUCUUUUGGCGAUGAAUUUUGCCAAUCGCCAGUUGAGGAGGCAAACAAUUUUGGUGACCGUGCUUUGCACAUUGUUUGUUUUCUGCCAGCCAGCUUUGGUAGUCCUAUUUGUGAUAUGUCUUAUAGUCGGCUAAACAUUCCUGCAACAUGUGCAUGCGAGGAUGUCAAGGAACUUUAUGUGGAGUGUGUUGUAUUCUCAUAUGGUUACAAGGUUAUUUUCACAAGAAGGAUACUUAGCAAUACUAAAUUUAUGAGAGAAAAGGAUAAUAUAGUUGAUUACUUACGAAUCUGAUAAUCUUCCUAUCAUCUCUUUCUACUGAUACCUCCUGUUCCCAAAGACAUGAGAUAGUGAAAGUGGCAAGGGGUAGUAGACUCUCCAAUGCUAGUGGUUCUCUUUCACGUUGACACAUCCUUGAUUUUUGGCUGUGUGUGCUUCCAUUUGUUUCACAGUUUCAAAGUCUACAUGUAAUGGGCAUCGCUUGAUGUAUCAGUUGAUGCAAAGGCCGGGGGCUAUCCACCUUUUCGGAAAAACAUGUAAUGGUCGUAAUCAAGAAGGGGACAAGUGGUAGGUUUUGCAUUUAAAAUUGGCUCCUACUAGUCUAUAGUGGUGGACCCACAUAAGCACCUUUGAAUAUUUAAAGAUUCAACUCUCAUCAAUUGUGUUUUACAUAUUUUUACCUUUCUAGAUAUGGAAUCCUUUCAAAUCAAUUUAUAAAAACAAAUCCCUGCCAGUCUAGGAUUUCCUCCCAAUCUUCACCAAACACAUCCGCCAUAUCAACCAUAUCGACGCCACAACCUCCUAGUCCUAAUGCAUUAUGCCUAGCUACAAUCCUAUGUUUGUCUUGUCCACGCGUCAUCCAACACCGGGCGAUGGAGCAUAUAAGAAAACCCUCAUUCAUUGGAUGAGGAAGCAUAACUGAUUUCACGUGGAUUCCCUUCGAAACGAUGGUGUUCUCACGAACUUGGACUGAUUAUCUUCUAUAGAUGCUUAUCUCUAUGAAAUCUAAAAGAAGUAGAGUACGAUAAAAGUUACACGAAAUAGUUGUUGUUAUAGUGGAUUUGAAGGAGCAUAAGAGAUCAAGACAUACGAAAAAAUGAAAUUAAGGUGCAAGGAGACAUACCAAGUUUCAUGGUAUUUUCAUUUUCAUUGAAUCUGUGCGCGUAAGGAUAUAAGGCAUCAAGGAGAGGAUAUCCAUGGUGCCAAUCAGUCCAUGUGCACAAACAACUUUAUCACGUUUAUUUGUUUCACAAAAUCAGAUUUCAACAGUUUAUUUAGGGUUCAUCAUUAUGAAAUCACAUAAAAUAAAUGAUUUAAGCAUUAACCAAAAAAAAUUACGAAGAAAGAGGUGUUUGAGGCAGUAUCGCAAAUGAAGAAUAACAAGUUACCCGG
rnacentral:lncRNA from 1 species